AUUGAACGCUGGCGGCAGGCCUAACACAUGCAAGUCGAACGGUAACAGGAAGCAGCUUGCUGCUUCGCUGACGAGUGGCGGACGGGUGAGUAAUGUCUGGGAAGCUGCCUGAUGGAGGGGGAUAACUACUGGAAACGGUAGCUAAUACCGCAUAAUGUCGCAAGACCAAAGAGGGGGACCUUCGGGCCUCUUGCCAUCGGAUGUGCCCAGAUGGGAUUAGCUUGUUGGUGGGGUAACGGCUCACCAAGGCGACGAUCCCUAGCUGGUCUGAGAGGAUGACCAGCCACACUGGAACUGAGACACGGUCCAGACUCCUACGGGAGGCAGCAGUGGGGAAUAUUGCACAAUGGGCGCAAGCCUGAUGCAGCCAUGCCGCGUGUAUGAAGAAGGCCUUCGGGUUGUAAAGUACUUUCAGCGGGGAGGAAGGGAGUAAAGUUAAUGCCUUUGCUCAUUGACGUUACCCGCAGAAGAAGCACCGGCUAACUCCGUG
rnacentral:rRNA from 1 species